AUCCAGGUGACGAGUCCCAAAUAGGACGAAAUGAGCAUCCUGGAU
rnacentral:hammerhead_ribozyme from 1 species